rnacentral:pre_miRNA from 1 species
GAGACACCCUUAUGUGGUAGGACUUGCUUCAGUGGGGCUUUGGUACUCACUGAGUCUGCUUCUUGAGUGUGUCCCU